AGAGAUGCCUUAGUGCCUUCGGGAACCGUGAGACAGGUGCUGCAUGGCUGUCGUCAGCUCGUGUUGUGAAAUGUUGGGUUAAGUCCCGCAACGAGCGCAACCCUUAUCCUUUGUUGCCAGCGAUUCGGUCGGGAACUCAAAGGAGACUGCCGGUGAUAAACCGGAGGAAGGUGGGGAUGACGUCAAGUCAUCAUGGCCCUUACGGCCAGGGCUACACACGUGCUACAAUGGCGCAUACAAAGAGAAGCGACCUCGCGAGAGCAAGCGGACCUCAUAAAGUGCGUCGUAGUCCGGAUUGGAGUCUGCAACUCGACUCCAUGAAGUCGGAAUCGCUAGUAAUCGUAGAUCAGAAUGCUACGGUGAAUACGUUCCCGGGCCUUGUACACACCGCCCGUCACACCAUGGGAGUGGGUUGCAAAAGAAGUAGGUAGCUUAACCUUCGGGAGGGCGCUUACCACUUUGUGAUUCAUGACUGGGGUGAAGUCGUAACAAGGUAGGCGUAGCGAG
rnacentral:rRNA from 1 species